AUUGAACGCUGGCGGCAGGCUUAACACAUGCAAGUCGAGCGGAGCGGCGGACGGGUGUGUAACGCCUAUGAAUCUGCCUGGUAGUGGGGGAUAACGUCCGGAACCGGGCGCUAAUACCGCAUACUAUCAGAUUAGCCUAGGUCGGAUUAGCUAGUGGGUGGGGUAAAGGCCUACCAAGGCGACGAUCCGUAACUGGUCCGAGAGGAUGAUCAGUCACACUGGAACUGAGACACGGUCCGGACUCCUCCGGGAGGCAGCAGUGGGGAAUAUUGGACAAUGUGCGAAAGCCUGAUCCAGCCAUGCCGCGUGUGUGAAGAAGGUCUUCGGAUUGUAAAGCACUUUAAGUUGGGAGGCGUUACCAACAGAAUAAGCACCGGCUAACUACGUGCCAGCAGCCGCGGUAAUAC
rnacentral:rRNA from 1 species